rnacentral:rRNA from 1 species
GACGAACGCUGGCGGCGUGCUUAACACAUGCAAGUCGAACGGAAAGGCCCUGCUUUUGUGGGGUGCUCGAGUGGCGAACGGGUGAGUAACACGUGAGUAACCUGCCCUUGACUUUGGGAUAACUUCUGGAAACUGGGGCUAAUACCGGAUAGGAGCUCCUGCUGCAUGGUGGGGGUUGGAAAGUUUCGGCGGUUGGGGAUGGACUCGCGGCUUAUCAGCUUGUUGGUGGGGUAGUGGCUUACCAAGGCUUUGACGGGUAGCCGGCCUGAGAGGGUGACCGGCCACAUUGGGACUGAGAUACGGCCCAGACUCCUACGGGAGGCAGCAGUGGGGAAUAUUGCACAAUGGGCGGAAGCCUGAUGCAGCAACGCCGCGUGCGGGAUGACGGCCUUCGGGUUGUAAACCGCUUUCGCCUGUGACGAAGAGUGAGUGACGGUAAUGGGUAAAGAAGCACCGGCUAACUACGUG